GAUGAACGCUGGCGGCGUGCCUAAUACAUGCCAGUCGAGCGAACAGACGAGGAGCUUGCUCCUCUGACGUUAGCGGCGGACGGGUGAGUAACACGUGGAUAACCUACCUAUAAGACUGGGAUAACUUCGGGAAACCGGAGCUAAUACCGGAUAAUAUAUUGAACCGCAUGGUUCAAUAGUGAAAGACGGUUUUGCUGUCACUUAUAGAUGGAUCCGCGCCGCAUUAGCUAGUUGGUAAGGUAACGGCUUACCAAGGCAACGAUGCGUAGCCGACCUGAGAGGGUGAUCGGCCACACUGGAACGGAGACACGGUCCAGACGCCUAAGGGAGGCAGCAGUAGGGAAUCUUACGCAAUGGGCGAAAGCCUGACGGAGCAACGCCGCGUGAGUGAUGAAGGUCUUCGGAUCGUAAAACUCUGUUAUUAGGGAAGAACAAAUGUGUAAGUAACUAUGCACGUCUUGACGGUACCUAAUCAGAAAGCCACGGCUAACUACGUG
rnacentral:rRNA from 1 species